rnacentral:lncRNA from 1 species
GUCAUAUCUGACGGAUAUCUCGCUCGGGAGUCUCUCCACUUGGCAGCUCCUGCAGCAUGCCCGCCGGGCUCAGUGCCUCCCUAGCUCUGUUCUUUCCCCCAUGACCUCCGUCCACAGCCGCUCCCCCUCUAGUCUGGGAGCACUCUGAGGGUAGUAAGAGUGCUGUGUGUGUCUCUGCAUUUGGCACAUGAAAGAACAAGACAUGUGCGUAAGUAAAGCAUCUGGGGGAACACAGGACUUAGGUAAGUGAAAGACAGCGUGUGGAUUUGGUAGACAAGUGGGUAGGGUACCGAAGGCUGAGCUAGGACCUUAGAGUCAGAGCUGAAUUUAAUAGAAAGAAGCAUCCCUAACCAUGAGUUGGGAGGCCUGGAGGAAGGUAAUGAGCUCACCAUCCCUCAAGGUAUCUGAACAGAGAUGAGCUGAUGGGCCACUUGAAGAUGCUGGAAAGAGGGGAGCUUUACUGGGUGACAGGUUGCGCUGGAUGGUUACAUGUUCCCUCCGCUUCCGUCAUAUCACUGAUUUGUGUUCCGUAGAGCGAGAUUGAACAAACCGCUAACCCAGGCCAUAGAGGCAUUCAGGUGGUUGGGAGCUGGGCCUGUGCCUCCAGGCAGACCUGAUUUUGAAUCUGGGCUCUACCACUUUGCUGCGCCAAAGUGGGCAAGAUCCUCACCCUCUCUGAGCACAAGUGACUUAGUGUCUAUGGCCCUGGAAUGCUUUCUUCACUUCUUCCCCGCAGGGCUCUGACCCACGCAGCAGAGACAAAGGCUACCUCCGAAAUGGACAGCAGGCACUCAGUGACAGCUAGCAGUGAAGUCUUUUCAAGAUGUAAAUCCCUGCGAAGUUUGCCAGAAUCUAGUCGACACCCCCCGUGUGCUUUCAUCCACUGCCGAUUCUUUGCCAUUUCGAACCUCAUGGACACCAGAAGGAAGAGCUAGCGGCUGUCCCAUGAAGUCCACACAGGAACUAAUUCUACUGCCAGAGAAGGAAAUCUUCCCUGUCCCCACUCAGAAGACACUAUGGAUUGCAGUAGACCAUCAUCUGCUGGGUGUUUCAUAGCCUUUAAUUUUCAGAAUGGUCGUUUGGGUGUGUGUGGGGGGGGGAUUAUAUUGUUCCUACGCCACUGACGUGUAUUUAAAUGAGAGUUCGACUUUUAUUUUGUAAGUUGCACCGACAUCUGGAGCUGGUGGAUGGUUAUAGACCUUGAGUGGGGUGCAGUGAGAUUUGGGGGUUCUCUACUGGGCACAGGUGAGUGUGUUCUAUAUAUGGAAAGAAGGAUGUAUAUAGGGUGACCAUGGGACAUACUGCCCGAACUGGAACACUUCUGUAUAUUAUCUCUUCAUAUAUUAAUGUAAGUAUGCACGCAUGUUUAUUUUAAUCGUGUUAUUGAGGUAUACUCGGCAAAUCAAAAAAUUGCACAUAUUUCAGUAUACAGACUGAAGAGUUUUGAUGUUUGCGUAUGUCCAUGAAACUGUCUCCACGAUGAAGAUAAGAAACAUAUCUGUUCCCCUUCCCAAAACUCCUUGUGUCCCUUGGUAAACUUUCUCUCCUGUCUCUACCUGUACCCCACCUCUCCAGGCAACUACCCAUCUAUCUCUGUCACCAUUUGUGAGCCUGCAUUUUUUAGAAUAUUAUGUAAAUUUUACAUAGAUCUAUAUAUAAACACUAUACUCUUUUUUGUCUGGCUUCUUUCAUGCAGCAUAAUUGAGAUUCAUUUUUGUUGUAUUCUCAGCAGUUUAUUCCUUUAUAUUGCUGAGCAGUGUUUUUUUCUUACUUUUUUUUCAUUUAAAUUCAAUUAAUUAACAUAUAAUGUAUUAUUGGCUUCAGAGGUUGAGAGCAGUGACUCAUCAGUCUUGUAUAAUACUCAGUGCUCGUUAUAUACAUCACGUGCCCUCCUCAAUGCCCAUCCCCCAGUGACCCCAUCCCCCACCCCUCCAGCAACCCUCAGUUUGUUUCCUGUGAUUAAGAGUCUCUUGUGGUUUCUCUGAUUUUGUCUUGUUUUAUUUUUUCCUCUCUCCCCCUAUCAUCCUGUUUUGUUUCUUAAAUUCCACAUAUGAAUGAGAUCAUAUGAUCAUUGUUUUUCUUUGAUUGAUUUACUUCGCUUAGCAUAAUACCCUCUACUUCCAUUCACUCCAUUGCAAAUAGCAAGAUUUCCUAUUUUUUUGGAUGGCUGAGUCCAGCUGAGUCGCGUUCUACUGUGCGGCUGUACCACAGUUUAUCCAGUCACCUGCUGGGGUACCAUCCUCCUGUCCAGUUUCCACAGUAAAGCUGCUCUGAAUAGUCAGUAUUUGUAUGGACAUUUAUUCCUUCUUUUCUCUUUGUAAAUACCUCAAGUUUUGGUUUUUCCCUUUUCUUUUGUUAUGGUAAAAUAUACAUAUCAAAAAAUUCACCAUUUUAAUCAUUUUUAAGUGUUUGGUGGCAUUAAGUACAUUCACAUUAUUGUGCUCUUGUAGCCAUUCCCAUAAUUUUUCAUCAUCCCAAAUAGAAACUCUGUACCCUUGGGCACCUGGGUGGCUCAGUGGGUUAAAGCCUCUGCCUUUGGGUGCCUGGGUGGCUCGGUGGGUUAAGCCGCUGCCUUUGGCUCAGGUCAUGAUCUCGGGGUCCUGGGAUCGAGUCCGGCAUCGGGCUCUCUGCUCAGCAGGGAGCCUGCUUCUCUCUCUCUCUCUCUCUCUCUCUCUGCCUGCCUCUCCGUUUACUUGUGAUCUCUCUCUCUCUCUGUGUCAAAUAAAUAAAUAAAUAAAGCCUCUGCCUUUGGCUCAGGUCAUGAUCCCAGGGUCCUGGGAUGGAGCCCAGAAUCACUCUAUGGGGUUCUCUGCUCAGCAGGGAGCCUGCUUUCCUUCCUCUGUCUCUGCCUGCCUCACUGCCUACUUGUGAUCUCUGUUUGUCAAAUAAAUAAAAUCUUAAACAAACAAACCUCUGUACCCAUUAAAUACAAGCAG